rnacentral:rRNA from 1 species
CCUACGGGAGGCAGCAGUAGGGAAUAUUGGGCAAUGGGAGGCAACUCUGACCCAGCCAUGCCGCGUGCAGGAUGAAGGCGUUAUGCGUUGUAAACUGCUUUUAUAUAGGAAGAAAUAGACCUUGCGAGGUAAGUUGACGGUACUAUAUGAAUAAGCACCGGCUAACUCCGUGCCAGCAGCCGCGGUAAUACGGAGGGUGCAAGCGUUGUCCGGAUUUAUUGGGUUUAAAGGGUGCGUAGGCGGUUUAUUAAGUCAGUGGUGAAAGACGGUCGCUCAACGAUUACAGUGCCAUUGAUACUGGUAGACUUGAGUAUGAUUGAGGUAGCUGGAAUGGAUAGUGUAGCGGUGAAAUGCAUAGAUAUUAUCCAGAACACCAAUUGCGUAGGCAAGUUACUAAGUCAUAACUGACGCUGAGGCACGAAAGUGUGGGUAUCAAACAGGAUUAGAUACCCUGGUAGUCCACACUGUAAACGAUGAUAACUAACUGUUGGCUUUCGGGUCAGUGGUACAGAGAAAUCGUUAAGUUAAUCCACCUGGGGAGUACGCCGGCAACGGUGAAACUUAAANGAAAUUGACGG